rnacentral:lncRNA from 1 species
UCACCCAUCAAGUUCUUUUCUCAGCAUACGGCCUUCCCAUGUCCACGUCCUCACCUUGCAACAAGAUAACCUGUUCUCCCAUGUCCAAAGAACAAAUCCAAACUCCCCUCAUCCAAAUAAGUUCCAGCUUCUUCCGUGUGGAGAAAUAGCACCCCAGCUUCUUCCAAAUCCCUUGCGUUCCACGACAUCAACUUAUAAACAAAAUCCCCUGUUUCUCCACGUUCAUCCUCAUCCUUCCCACGCUCACAUCCAAACUUCCCACAAAACGGAGUCCAGCUCCCCCUUGUGCCUGUGUUCAUCUUCCACCCGUCCGAGAUCCUCUCCACAUCCUCCUCCACGUUGAAGCCUCGUUAGUUUCUUCCAGAUUCUUCCCAGUGGAGCAAGGUUCAUCCGCAUUCCAGCUGCUCACCCGCAUGCAUCCUAACAUCCUGAGUUCAUCUCGUAUCCAGCCGAAUUCCCAUUCUCUAGCAUCUGCAUCCUUCUGCAUCCAAAGAUCCCCUGUUCCCAGUCGUAUCCACCGUUUCCAAACCUCCUCAACUUCUCUUCAUCCCGCAUCGUCCCCAGAUGAAUCCCCUGCAUCCCAGAGCUGAGUCUUCUAUGCCUUGCUCU